rnacentral:rRNA from 1 species
AUUGAACGCUGGCGGCAGGCUUAACACAUGCAAGUCGAGCGGAGAGAGGUAGCUUGCUACUGAUCUUAGCGGCGGACGGGUGAGUAAUGCUUAGGAAUCUGCCUAUUAGUGGGGGACAACAUUUCGAAAGGAAUGCUAAUACCGCAUACGUCCUACAGGAGAAAGCAGGGGAUCUUCGGACCUUGCGCUAAUAGAUGAGCCUAAGUCGGAUUAGCUAGUUGGUGGGGUAAAGGCCUACCAAGGCGACGAUCUGUAGCGGGUCUGAGAGGAUGAUCCGCCACACUGGGACUGAGACACGGCCCAGACUCCUACGGGAGGCAGCAGUGGGGAAUAUUGGACAAUGGGCGGAAGCCUGAUCCAGCCAAGCCGCGUGUGUGAAGAAGGCCUUAUGGUUGUAAAGCACUUUAAGCGAGGAGGAGGCUACUUUAGUUAAUACCUAGAGAUAGUGGACGUUACUCGCAGAAUAAGCACCGGCUAACUCUGUGCCAGCCGCCGCGGUAA